AGAUCGAACUAAAGAGUUUGAUCCUGGCUCAGAUUGAACGCUGGCGGAAUGCUUUACACAUGCAAGUCGAACGGCAGCAUAGGAGCUUGCUCCUGAUGGCGAGUGGCGAACGGGUGAGUAAUGCAUCGGAACGUGCCCAGUCGUGGGGGAUAACGCAGCGAAAGCUGCGCUAAUACCGCAUAAGAUCUCUGGAUGAAAGCGGGGGACCGUAAGGCCUCGCGCGAUUGGAGCGGCCGAUGUCAGAUUAGGUAGUUGGUGAGGUAAAGGCUCACCAAGCCAACGAUCUGUAGCUGGUUUGAGAGGACGACCAGCCACACUGGGACUGAGACACGGCCCAGACUCCUACGGGAGGCAGCAGUGGGGAAUUUUGGACAAUGGGCGAAAGCCUGAUCCAGCCAUUCCGCGUGCAGGACGAAGGCCUUCGGGUUGUAAACUGCUUUUGUACGGAACGAAAAUGCCUUUGUUAAUACCAAGGGUAAAUGACGGUACCGUAAGAAUAAGCACCGGCUAACUACGUGCCAGCAGCCGCGGUAAUACGUAGGGUGCAA
rnacentral:rRNA from 1 species